rnacentral:rRNA from 1 species
UACGUAGGGUGCAAGCGUUGUCCGGAAUUAUUGGGCGUAAAGAGCUCGUAGGCGGCUUGUCGCGUCGAAUGUGAAAUUUCAGGGCUCAACUCUGACAUUGCAUUCGAUACGGGCAGGCUCGAGUUCGGUAGGGGAGACUGGAAUUCCUGGUGUAGCGGUGAAAUGCGCAGAUAUCAGGAGGAACACCGGUGGCGAAGGCGGGUCUCUGGGCCGAUACUGACGCUGAGGAGCGAAAGCGUGGGGAGCGAACAGG